rnacentral:lncRNA from 1 species
CAGCAGCCAGAUGCAAAGUGUCCUGUUGACCACCGUAGACAAGAUCCCAUGGAACUGAUAGAGGAUUUUGUGUUCUAUUGACCGAAGAGGCUCCUGGCAGGGCCCGGGGAACAAGGAGGCCAGGUGGAGGUUCCUAGCAGACACAGCUCCAGGAGUUUGGCCCUGAGCUAACAUCUGCUGCCAAUCCUUUCUUUUUGGCUGAGGAAGACUGGCCCUGAACUCCGUGCCCGUCUUCCUCUACUUUCUAUGUGGGAUGCCUACCAGAGCAUGGCUUUUGCCAAGCGGUGCCAUGUCUGCACCCGGGAUCCGAAACGGCGAACCCCAGGCCGCAGAAGCGGAAUGUGCACACUUAACUGCUGCACCACCAGCCGGCCUCUCAAGUUAACACAUUUUAAAGAUAGAGUUAAGAAUUAUUCCCAUUAACCUCACUUCUUAAUGCACAGUAGCCAAUUAAUAAAUAUUGACCAAUCAUUCUA